GAUGAACGCUAGCGGCAGGCCUAAUACAUGCAAGUCGAACGAUAUUAAGGGGCUUGCUCCUUAAGAAAGUGGCGCACGGGUGCGUAACGCGUAUGCAACCUACCUUAAUCAGGGGGAUAGCCCGAAGAAAUUCGGAUUAACACCGCAUAAAAACACAGGAUAGCAUUAUCCAAUGUUCAAAUAUUUAUAGGAUUAAGAUGGGCAUGCGUGUCAUUAGCUAGUUGGCGGGGUAACGGCCCACCAAGGCGACGAUGACUAGGGGAUCUGAGAGGAUGACCCCCCACACUGGUACUGAGACACGGACCAGACUCCUACGGGAGGCAGCAGUAGGAAUAUUGGUCAAUGGAGGCAACUCUGAACCAGCCAUGCCGCGUGCAGGAAGACUGCCCUAUGGGUUGUAAACUGCUUUUAUCCGGGAAUAAACCUUUCUACGUGUAGGAAGCUGAAUGUACCGGAAGAAUAAGGAUCGGCUAACUCCGUGCCAGCCGCCGCAGUAAGAC
rnacentral:rRNA from 1 species